rnacentral:tRNA from 1 species
GGGGAUUUAGCUCAGUGGUAGAGCACUUGCCUAGCAAGCACAAGGCCCUGGGUUCGGUCCCCAGCCUUG